rnacentral:tRNA from 1 species
GGGGGUAUAGCUCAGUGGUAAAGCACAUACUUAGCAUGCACAAGGUCCUGGGUUCAAUUCCCAAUACCUCCA